GCGAAUGAAAAGAGGAGAGGGAAAGAGACUGUUGGAGGAGGCUUGUUUAGUCAAGGAAGGCAGUGGCAAGCUAGGGCGCAGACUUGGGGGAGCAGCCUUGGGCUGGGUCUGGAGGAGUGGGUGGUUUUCGGGGUUGGCCGCCCAGCCUGGAGCCCUGCUGCUGAGGAGAAGGAGGAAGCCUGCCUGCCGGGUCGGGGCAGGCCUGGGCAGGGCAAACUGGGCCGGAUAAAGAAACAGGUGCUGGGAGCUUUUAUCUUUAUUUCAUAUCCCCAAGUCUGUGGUGGUGGAGCGACCAAUUUUCCCAUAAUCCUAGGAAGGGGAGGCACUUGGGACACUCGGCACACGCAUCCUCUUCUGUCUGCCCACAGGGCUCGCAUUUCAACAGUCGGUCUCCAGCAGAUUCACCAGGCACUGUACGCCACACAAGAGGAAAAAGUAGAGAAACUUCUCAAGGAGGGCAUUCAGUUUCACCCAGACAAUAUAUGUGCUCAGUUGUGUGACUGUUCAGUUGAGCUUGAGACCUCAUGCUACAUUUGUAGCCAAUCACUGACCUCCUCCCUGGCAUCAGUGAUACUGAAUGUUCCUGCUUCGAAGCCGCUAAUUGGUGAGUGCCAAAUAAGACUCCUUAGGAAGCAACAGAAGCUCUUUAAAUAA
rnacentral:lncRNA from 1 species